rnacentral:misc_RNA from 1 species
GAUGAAGAACGCCAGCGAAAUGCGAUAAGUAAUGUGAAUUGCAGAAUUCAGUGAAUCAUCGAAUCUUUGAACGCACCUUGCACCCUUUGGCAUUCCGAAGGGUAUGCUCGUUUGAGUGUCAUUGUACUCUCACACUCUCCGAUCCUAUGGAUUCGGGGAGCGGUGGACUUGGGUGUUGCUGCCUUUCCCUGUGGCUCACCUCAAAUGCGUCAGUGCACCUCUUGGUUGGACAUAGUACGGCGUGAUAAGUGUCUUCGCCGGCACCUCGCAAGAGGGUGGCCGAUCGGGAGCUCUGCGCUUUCAAACCGUCUUCGGACAAUUUCUGACAUCUUGACCUCAAAUCGAGUAGGACUACCCGCUGAACUUAAGCAUAUCAAUAAGCGGAGGA